UACGUAGGUGGCAAGCGUUGUCCGGAUUUACUGGGUGUAAAGGGCGUGUAGGCGGGGAAGCAAGUCAGAUGUGAAAUUCCGGGGCUUAACUUCGGGGCUGCAUCUGAAACUGUUUUUCUUGAGUGCUGGAGAGGAAAGUGGAAUUCCCAGUGUAGCGGUGAAAUGCGUAGAGAUUGGGAGGAACACCAGUGGCGAAGGCGGCUUUCUGGACAGUAACUGACGCUGAGGCGCGAAAGCGUGGGGAGCAAACAGG
rnacentral:rRNA from 1 species